rnacentral:rRNA from 1 species
GAUGAACGCUGGCGGCGUGCCUAAUACAUGCAAGUCGAGCGAACAGACGAGGAGCUUGCUCCUCUGACGUUAGCGGCGGACGGGUGAGUAACACGUGGAUAACCUACCUAUAAGACUGGGAUAACUUCGGGAAACCGGAGCUAAUACCGGAUAAUAUAUUGAACCGCAUGGUUCAAUAGUGAAAGACGGUUUUGCUGUCACCUAUAGAUGGAUCCGCGCCGCAUCAGCUAGUUGGUAAGGUAACGGCUUACCAAGGCGACGAUGCGUAGCCGACCUGAGAGGGUGAUCGGCCACACUGGAACUGAGACACGGUCCAGACUCCUACGGGAGGCAGCAGUAGGGAAUCUUCCGCAAUGGGCGAAAGCCUGACGGAGCAACGCCGCGUGAGUGAUGAAGGUCUUCGGAUCGUAAAACUCUGUUAUUAGGGAAGAACAAAUGUGUAAGUAACUAUGCACGUCUUGACGGUACCUAAUCAGAAAGCCACGGCUAACUACGUG